rnacentral:snoRNA from 1 species
UGGAAUGAUGAAAUUUGCUACCCCUGAAAUGUGAUGAGCCCUGCCGUUACUGACCG